rnacentral:rRNA from 1 species
GCUUGUCUCAAAGAUUAAGCCAUGCAUGUCUAAGUAUAAAUGGUAUACAGUGAAACUGCGAAUGGCUCAUUAAAACAGUUAUAGUUUAUUUGGUAAUCGAAUUUACAUGGAUAACCGUGGUAAUUCUAGAGCUAAUACAUGCUGUAAAGCCCGACUUUUCGGAAGGGCCGUAUUUAUUAGAUAACAGACCAAUAUUCCUCGUGUCUAUUGUGAUGACUCAUAAUAACUGAUCGAAUCGCAUGGGCCUUGCCCGCGAUACAUCAUUCAAGUUUCUGCCCCAUCAGCUUUCGAUGGUAGUGUAUUGGACUACCAUGGCUUUAACGGGUAACGGAGGAUUAGGGUUCGAUUCCGGAGAGGGAGCCUGAGAAACGGCUACCACAUCUAAGGAAGGCAGCAGG